rnacentral:rRNA from 1 species
AUUGAACGCUGGCGGCAGGCUUAACACAUGCAAGUCGAGCGGAGAUGAGGUGCUUGCACCUUAUCUUAGCGGCGGACGGGUGAGUAAUGCUUAGGAAUAUGCCUAUUAGUGGGGGACGACAUUCCGAAAGGAAUGCUAAUACCGCAUACGUCCUACGGGAGAAAGCAGGGGAUCUUCGGACCUUGCGCUAAUAGAUGAGCCUAAGUCGGAUUAGCUAGUUGGUGGGGUAAAGGCCUACCAAGGCGACGAUCUGUAGCGGGUCUGAGAGGAUGAUCCGCCACACUGGGACUGAGACACGGCCCAGACUCCUACGGGAGGCAGCAGUGGGGAAUAUUGGACAAUGGGGGGAACCCUGAUCCAGCCAUGCCGCGUGUGUGAAGAAGGCCUUAUGGUUGUAAAGCACUUUAAGCGAGGAGGAGGCUACUGUGACUAAUACUCUUGGAUAGUGGACGUUACUCGCAGAAUAAGCACCGGCUAACUCUGUGCCAGCCGCCGCAGUAA